GGUGCUCAGCGCCCGACCUCCAACCCUCUGUUGUUAAAACUACCUUGUUGCUUUGGCGGGACCGCUCGGUCCCGAGCCGCCGGGGAUCCGUCCCAGGCGAGCGCCCGCCAGAGUCCAACCAAAACUCUUGUUAAUCGUAACCGGUCGUCUGAGUAAAAAUUUUUGAAUAAAUCAAAACUUUCAACAACGGAUCUCUUGGUUCUCGCAUCGAUGAAGAACGCAGCGAAAUGCGAUAAGUAAUGUGAAUUGCAGAAUUCAGUGAAUCAUCGAAUCUUUGAACGCACAUUGCGCCCCUUGGUAUUCCGAGGGGCAUGCCUGUUCGAGCGUCAUUACACCACUCAAGCUAUGCUUGGUAUUGGGUGCCGUCCCCUUCCACGGGGGGCGCGCCUCAAAGACCUCGGCGAGGCCUCACCGGCUUUAGGCGUAGUAGAAUUUAUUCGAACGUCUGUCAAAGGAGAGGACUUCUGCCGACCGAAACCUUUUAUUUUUUUCUAGGUUGACCUCGGAUCAGGUAGGGAUACCCGCUGAACUUAAGCAUAUCAAUAAGCGGAGGAA
rnacentral:rRNA from 1 species